rnacentral:rRNA from 1 species
GCUGAUGGAGGUGAACUAGUUUGUUCGGCAUCUAUUCCCGAUUGCCAGUGGUCAUCGCAAGGACUGGAAUUAGUCACGGAUAUGAAGAUUUUACCGCUCGGAGUGUAUGAUGCCAUUCUUGGGAUGGAUUGGCUGGAGCAACACAGCCCGAUGACUGUUGAUUGGAGGAACAAGCAUUUGCGUAUCCCAACAGCUCUCGGGCCAGCCAGUUUAUUCGGGCACGAAGCGCAGUCCACCCAAUGCCAUGUCAUCAAUAGUGCUCAGCUGCAACAACUGCAUCGACAGGGGGCUCUGUUGCAUCUCUGUCUGCUCUACCCAAUCAAUGAGAAGCCGAAACACUCAGUGCCUGAAGCCACUGGUCUGCAACAGUUACUGGAAGAAUUUGAGGAUGUGUUUGGUGAGCCACAGGGACUACCCCCCCGACGGGCUUGUGAUCAUAAGAUUCCUCUCAUGCCCGGGGCGCAACCUGUUAACAUUAGGCCCUAUCAUCAUAAACCAGAACACAAGUCAGAGAUCGAGCGGCAGGUCCAAGAACUAUUGCAGUCCGAAGUAAUUCAG